UUUUUUUUCCUUAACUUCAACUUAAGAUUGCUCCUUCAUUUUGAGUCCAAAUUAAGUGAUUCAAAAGGCAAACUUCAAGAGAAUUUCGAGGGGAAUCUAGCGGUGAUCUCAGAAACGCGAGGGGAGGCUUCGUUUGAGUGGGGAAGCAUUUGGAGACCGUUCGGAGAGGAAAAGAUCCGGUACCGUGAGUUGGAGCACGCGUGAUCGGCUUUCAGGUCCGAGCACUAGUAGCCAGCGUUGAUCGAGCUUAGAGUAGACUUAUCUGGAGACGGGGGUGAGCACACGACGUUUUGUACUAUUUCAGUCUCCAUCUGUAUAUAUAGACUUGUCUUUUUCCUUUCGAG